UUUAGGGAGUGAAUAUCUUUUUCAUAUCUUUUGUCUUGCUCAUUAAGUUAGUAUCCACUAUUAUAAAUAGUGGACAUUGUUAUUCAUUUCAUUCAAUCAAGAAAUAACAUAUUUUCUCAAUUUUAUCAUCUUCUUUAAUUUUCUGCAAACACUAGUUUUGGAGCUGAUCCCGGGGAAAGCCCGUGACGUCCACCUUUAUCCUUCCGUCGUUGACCGCUCGUCGUCGCCGGAAUCUUGUUAAGGGAGUGCACCCUUAACACCGCUCUUGAGGCUCUAGGCGGCUCUGGCGUCGAGCUCAUGCUCGGAAUCCCAGAGGCCGAUCUCCCCGACAUAGCCAAACACCAGUCCCAUGCGGACGACUGGGUCCAAGUGACGUGGAACAGCUAGCCAACAUAGGCUAUCCGGACGUGAAAUUCCGAUACAUCGUUGUGGGAAACGAAGUGGAGCCUUCAUCAGAGUACGGCCCUCUGAUCCUCCCGGGUCCGGCAAUGAAGAACAUCCACAAUGCUCUCUGCGAAGCCGGGCUUGAAAAGCAGAUCGCCGUCUCAACCUCCAUCAAACUAACUCUUCUCGGAAAUUCGUCGCCUCCGAGCCAUGGGGAGUUUCUGCCGCAUGUGACGUGGUACAUAAAGCCCAUCGUGGAAUUUCUGAGGGACACAACACAAAUGCCCCUCUGCUUGCCAACGUCUAUCCCUACUUCUCCUACAUGCAUGACAUGGAGCACAUCAACCUUUCCUUCGCGCUUCUCCAGCCCUGCUGCGGCGUCUAUUACGACAACCUUUUCUAUGCAACUGUCGACGCCUUCUAUGCAGCCAUGGAGAAAAUCCUUGCCACGUCGUCACCAAUAUCAGCGGAGUUGAAAUCCAAAGCGACACCUGGCGUGACUGUGUCAGAGACUGGGCAUCCGACGGCGAAUUCAAAAAAAUCGAAACCCCCGAAACUACAAGUGUCGAGGAAGGGAAAGGAGAUCCGAGCAGUGUUGAAAAUGCGAGGAUUUACAAUACUAAUUUGAUGCGAGCAGUGAAGAAAGGGACGCCCAAAAGGCCCGGCCCCGAAUAUGAGAGGCAUUUUGGGAUCUUUCGGGCCUGGUAUACCCGCUUUGCUUUGACUAAGACGCUACUUAAAUAUAUGCUCAUCUUUGUAGAGUAAAAAUUUACUAGUUUGGCCAAUUACAAUUUACAAUUACUCUAUUUAUGUGGGUGCGUUUCAACAAUUAGUUGUUGUCUCUAAGUUGUAAUAUUGUCCCUGUUGGUAAUAGUAUUUUUUGUGUUUUAUAGUA